rnacentral:lncRNA from 13 species
GUUCUGGGACCGUGGAGGAACUCCUGCCAGUUCUGGGACCCUGGAGGAACUCUUGCAAGUUCAGGUUACAGCCAGUUCUGCAGGCAAUGCCCUGGGGUUUCCGUUUAUUGCCCCUAUUUAGAAUGCAGUUUGUUUUCUGCCAGAGACAAGGACCCCUGGGUGGGCUCCUCCCAUCCUGGUGGGAACUGAGAAAGAGGGGGAUGGGGCAGGGUGGGAGCUGCCCCGGGAUGUCCCACGGGAUCCCCGGUCCUGCAUGGGUCUUGUUCUCUUUCCCAUUUCUUUCCUCCUCCUCAUGUGUCUGCUCCUGUGGAAUAUUCCGCCCUGGAUAAGUGUGGCCAGUCGGUCAUCUCGUUUUCCUCUCCAGCUCCUCCUCCUGCUCAUCUCUGGGGCUCCUUGGAGGUGUAUUUGGGAAGAAGCUCAGAGUGAUGUCCACGGACCCUCGUCCCCAGGAUUCCGUUUCUCAGGGCAGGAGGCUGUGGAUUCCCACGCUUUUUCUUCCUGGACUUCACUAUUACAAGAUGAUGACACGAAGCUAGUCUCUAUUCCCUGGAUGGUACUACUGUGUUUCUAAACCAGUUUUCACUGACUGCUUAUUGUUCAGUUCUAUUAGGGUUUACGGGACGUUUCUGUGGUCUGGCUUUAUAUGGAGAAGGACCCUUAGUGUGUUUUAAAUAUAACUCAAAAUGUAAAAGUCAUUUCCACAAGGCUCAUUUUCACGGUGCUCAAUUCCUAGCCUUCCUCCCAGGAGACUUCCACUAGCAUCUGACACACAGGUCUCUGGCCCUGGAGACCCCUGCCUGGCCUCGGACAGACCCAGCCCUCCCUCUCUCUCAUUGUGUUCCCCUGAGUCACUGCAGAAUGUGCUGGGAAUCCAUGUCCUGACAUGGGAGGGGCUGGCUGCAAUGGCCCCACCCUGUCCCAGCCUGUCCAAACCCAGGAUGGCCUUGCCCGCUUUAUCCCAGUGAGUCCUGGAACCCCCAGGUAUAAAACCCAAGGUGGG